CUUGCUUCAUGAUGCGCAUCACAGAACUCUAAAGGGAAAGUUUCAGAGUUGCUGCCUUUACCAUGUCCACAGCCAUGUGACAAUUCAAUAAGCCAUGCCGUGACGAGCAAGGAACAAAAAAGUUUGUGGGGAAAACGCAGGGGAAAAAAUUGAAAGGUUGCUUCUUUUGCACAGAAAAUACCUGAUCUGCCGAAGUGUUGACAGUCUUUUGCUCAGUCACACUGACGUUGUCAGCACUCUUUCAGAAAACAGCUUCCCAGUUCAGCUUUAAAUGCUGAACCUGCCAACAGUUUGUUGACUUUGAUGUAAUAACCAAAGUCGACCAGCUGGGGGAGUCUAGCGGUAGUGAGCCACAGUAAAGAACACGGAACUUCUUCGAUACACGCUGUAGCGGAGGAAAGAGCGUCUCUGUGGCUCAUUUAUCAAAUUAUUUCCCUUUUCAGUCCCCCUGACGGCCGUCCAGCACAGUCAGCUCUGAGCCUGAACGCAGGAAUGGGAAGGCUGGCGGCGAACUG